rnacentral:rRNA from 1 species
GAUGAACGCUGGCGGCGUGCCUAAUACAUGCAAGUCGAGCGAACGGACGAGAAGCUUGCUUCUCUGAUGUUAGCGGCGGACGGGUGAGUAACACGUGGAUAACCUACCUAUAAGACUGGGAUAACUUCGGGAAACCGGAGCUAAUACCGGAUAAUAUUUUGAACCGCAUGGUUCAAAAGUGAAAGACGGUCUUGCUGUCACUUAUAGAUGGAUCCGCGCUGCAUUAGCUAGUUGGUAAGGUAACGGCUUACCAAGGCAACGAUGCAUAGCCGACCUGAGAGGGUGAUCGGCCACACUGGAACUGAGACACGGUCCAGACUCCUACGGGAGGCAGCAGUAGGGAAUCUUCCGCAAUGGGCGAAAGCCUGACGGAGCAACGCCGCGUGGGUGAUGAAGGUCUUCGGAUCGUAAAACUCUGUUAUUAGGGAAGAACAUAUGUGUAAGUAACUGUGCACAUCUUGACGGUACCUAAUCAGAGAGCCACGGCUAACUACGUG